AGCGAACGUUUGCGGCGGGCUUAACACAUGCAAGUCGAACGAGAAUCCCUUCGGGGAGGAAAGUGGCGCACGGGUGCGUAACACGUGGAUAACCAACCCAUUGGUUUGGGACAACACCGGGAAACUGGUGCUAAUACCAGAUGUGUCGCAGCUGUCUUCAGGCGGUUGCGAGAAAGGCCCGCAAGGGUCGCCAACGGACGGGUCCGCGUCCCAUCAGCUAGUUGGUGAGGUAAUGGCUCACCAAGGCAAAGACGGGUAGCUGGUCUGAGAGGAUGAUCAGCCACACUGGAACUGAGACACGGUCCAGACUCCUACGGGAGGCAGCAGUGGGGAAUAUUGCGCAAUGGGCGAAAGCCUGACGCAGCCACGCCGCGUGAGCGAUGAAGGUCUUCGGAUCGUAAAGCUCUGUGGGGGGAGAAGAAGAAAGCCGGUGAAGAGCCGGCCCUGACGGUAUCCCCUUAGCAAGCACCGGCUAACUCCGUGCCAGCAACCGCGGUAAAGUAGACG
rnacentral:rRNA from 1 species